AUUUCUCUAGUAUAACUAAUACUAAUGACUUCCAAUCAUUUUAUCUUGGUUUAAGCCCAGGGAGAAAUA
rnacentral:tRNA from 1 species